rnacentral:rRNA from 1 species
CCUACGGGAGGCUGCAGUGAGGAAUAUUGGUCAAUGGACGAGAGUCUGAACCAGCCAAGUAGCGUGAAGGAUGACUGCCCUAUGGGUUGUAAACUUCUUUUAUAAAGGAAUAAAACGAGGCACGUGUGCCUUUUUGCAUGUACUUUAUGAAUAAGGAUCGGCUAACUCCGUGCCAGCAGCCGCGGUAAUACGGAGGAUCCGAGCGUUAUCCGGAUUGAUUGGGUUUAAAGGGAGCGUAGAUGGGUUGUUAAGUCAGUUGUGAAAGUUUGCGGCUCAACCGGAAAAUUGCAAUGGAUACUGGCAGUCUUGAGUACAGUUGAGGUAGGCGGAAUUCGUGGUGUAGCGGUGAAAUGCUUAGAUAUCACGAAGAACCCCGAUUGCGAAGGCAGCUUACUAAACUGUGACUGACAUUGAUGCUCGAAAGUGUGGGUAUCAAACAGGAUUAGAUACCCUAGUAGUC